GCAGUCGUGGCCGUGUGGUGAAGGCGAUAGACCAGAAAUCCAUUGGGGUCUCCCCGCACAGGUUCGAAUCCUGUCAACUGCG
rnacentral:tRNA from 2 species